GGUGUUGAUCGUGCUGGUGAAUCUACAGCUAGUGGUAAUAAGUAUGGAUGGCAAUGGUACGAGGAUCCUAGGUUGGACUGUCUCAGCUACAGAAGCAUUUUUCCUUCUGAUGCAACCCCGCCAUUAGUUGAGGCAGAUAAAAAAACAGAUGAAAGCAAUUACCUUUUGUGGAGAUUAGAGCAUGGAGUUGCCGAAGGGUCAGCUGAAAUACCUAAAGGUGAAGCAAUCCCGCUUGAAUAUAAUUUUGUUGGUCUUAAUGCGAUAAGCUUUGACAAAGGCUGCUAUGUUGGUCAAGAGCUUAUAGCUCGUACGCACCA